rnacentral:rRNA from 1 species
CCUACGGGUGGCAGCAGUGGGGGAUAUUGGACAAUGGGGGGAACCCUGAUCCAGCGACGCCGCGUGAGUGAAGAAGUAUUUCGGAAUGUAAAGCUCUGUCAGCAGGGAAGAAAGAAAUGACGGUACAUGAACAAGCAGCCCCGGCUAACUACGUGCCAGCAGCCGCGGUAAUACGGUGGGGGCAAGCGUUAUCCGGAAUUACUGGGUGUAAAGGGAGCGUAGACGGUUAAGUAAGUCUGGAGUGAAAGGCCGGGGCACAACCCCGGGACUGCUCUGGAAACUAUUGAACUUGAGUGCAGGAGAGGUAAGCGGAAUUCCUAGUGUAGCGGUGAAAUGCGUAGAUAUUAGGAGGAACACCAGUGGCGAAGGCGGCUUACUGGACUGUAACUGACGUUGAGGCUCGAAAGCGUGGGGAGCAAACAGGAUUAGAUACCCCUGUAGUC